UACAGGGGGUGCAAGCGUUGUCCGGAAUCAUUGGGCGUAAAGCGCGUGUAGGCGGCUCGGUAAGUCCGCUGUGAAAGUCGGGGGCUCAACCCUCGGAUGCCGGUGGAUACUGUCGGGCUAGAGUACGGAAGAGGCGAGUGGAAUUCCUGGUGUAGCGGUGAAAUGCGCAGAUAUCAGGAGGAACACCAAGUGCGAAGGCAGCUCGCUGGGACGUUACUGACGCUGAGACGCGAAAGCGUGGGGAGCAAACAGG
rnacentral:rRNA from 1 species